AAGAAUGUUGUGUAUCAUGUCGUACCACCAUUGUAGUGUUCUCGUAACAUUAAAUACAAAAAACAAAUGCAAAUACAAAAACGAGUGCGGUCGGUGUGUUUGUCUUUUUUGUUGCGACACCAUUAUGGGUGUCUCUGUCUGUGUGUGUC
rnacentral:sRNA from 12 species